UACAGAGGGUGCAAGCGUUAUCCGGAAUGAUUGGGCGUAAAGGGUCCGCAGGUGGCAGUGUAAGUCUGCUGUCAAAGAAUGAGGCUUAACCUUAUCAAGGCAGUGGAAACUACACAGCUAGAGUACGGUCGGGGUAGAAGGAAUUCCUGGUGUAGCGGUGAAAUGCGUAGAGAUCAGGAAGAACACCGGUGGCGAAAGCGUUCUGCUAGACCGGUACUGACACUGAGGGACGAAAGCUAGGGGAGCGAAUGGG
rnacentral:rRNA from 1 species